rnacentral:rRNA from 1 species
AUGAAGUCGGAAUUGCUAGUAAUCGCGGAUCAGCAUGCCGCGGUGAAUACGUUCCCGGGCCUUGUACACACCGCCCGUCACACCAUGAGAGCCGGUAACACCCGAAGUCAGUAGUCUAACCGCAAGGAGGGCGCUGCCGAAGGUGGGAUUGGUAAUUGGGGUGAAGUCGUAACAAGGUAAC